UGCUUUCAACGCGAYCCCAGGUCAGGCGGGGU
rnacentral:rRNA from 1 species